GACGAACGCUGGCGGCGUGCUUAACACAUGCAAGUCGAACGAAGUGGCGCACGGGUGAGUAACGCGUAAUCAACCUGCCCUUCAGUGGGGGACAACAGUUGGAAACGACUGCUAAUACCUCAUACUGAAGGAGGUGAGUGGGUUUGCUUAGCAAGUUGGGGGGGUAACGGCCCACCAAGGCGAUGAUCAGUAGCCGUGCUGGUAGGAUGAACGGCCACAUUGGGACUGAGACACGGCCCAGAGUCCUACGGGAGGCAGCAGUGGGGAAUCUUCCGCAAUGGACGAAAGUCUGACGGAGCAACGCCGCGUGAGUGAUGACGGCCUUCGGGUUGUAAAGCUCUGUUAAUCGGGACGCGGUACCGGAAUAGAAAGCCACGGCUAACUACGUGCCAGCAGCCGCGGUAAUAC
rnacentral:rRNA from 1 species